GACGGAGGGUGCUAGCGUUGUUCGGAAUGACUGGGCGUAAAGGGCGCGUAGGCGGCCGCUUGCGUCGGAUGUGAAAGCCCGGGGCUCAGCCCCGGAACGGCAUCCGAUACGGGGCGGCUCGAGACCGAGAGAGGUGAGUGGAAUACCCAGUGUAGAGGUGAAAUUCGUAGAUAUUGGGUGGAACACCGGUGGCGAAAGCGGCUCACUGGCUCGGUUCUGACGCUGAGGCGCGAAAGCGUGGGGAGCAAACAGG
rnacentral:rRNA from 1 species